UAGUCCACGCCGUAAACGAUGGGUACUAGGUGUUGCGGGUGUUGACCCCUGCAGUGCCGAAGCUAACGCAUUAAGUAUCCCGCCUGGGAAGUACGGUCGCAAGAUUAAAACUCAAAGGAAUUGACGGGGGCCCGCACAAGCGGUGGAGCAUGUGGUUUAAUUCGAUGCAACGCGAAAAACCUUACCUGGGUUUGAAAUCCCCGGACAGCUUACGAGAGUAAGUUUUCUCUUAGGAGACCGGGUGUACAGGUGCUGCAUGGCUGUCGUCAGCUCGUAUCGUGAGAUGUCGGGUUAAGUCCCUUAACGAGCGCAACCCUUGUCCCUAUUUGCCAGCAUUAAGUUGGGUACUCUAGGGAGACUGCCCGUGUUAAGCGGGAGGAAGGUGGGGAUGACGUCAAGUCCUCAUGGCCCUUACGUCCAGGGCUACACACGUGCUACAAUGGCCGGUACAGAGGGUCGCCAACCAGCAAUGGGGAGCGUAAUCUCAGAAAGACCGGUCUCCAGUUCGGAUUAGAGUCUGCAACUCGACUCUA
rnacentral:rRNA from 1 species